rnacentral:rRNA from 1 species
GAUGAACGCUGGCGGCGUGCCUAAUACAUGCAAGUCGAGCGAACGGACGAGAAGCUUGCUUCUCUGAUGUUAGCGGCGGACGGGUGAGUAACACGUGGAUAACCUACCUAUAAGACUGGGAUAACUUCGGGAAACCGUAGCUAAUACCGGAUAAUAUUUUGAACCGCAUGGUUCAAAAGUGAAAGACGGUCUUGCCGUCACUUAUAGAUGGAUCCGCGCUGCAUUAGCUAGUUGGUAAGGUAACGGCUUACCAAGGCAACGAUGCAUGGCCGACCUGAGAGGGUGAUCGGCCACACUGGAACUGAGACACGGUCCAGACUCCUACGGGAGGCAGCAGUAGGGAAUCUUCCGCAAUGGGCGAAAGCCUGACGGAGCAACGCCGCGUGAGUGAUGAAGGUCUUCGGAUCGUAAAACUCUGUUAUUAGGGAAGAACAUAUGUGUAAGUAACUGUGCACAUCUUGACGGUACCUAAUCAGAAAGCCACGGCUAACUACGUG